CUUUUUUAACUCACUAGGGAUCCCAAAGUAAAUUAGUAGAUCUAGUAAUAUUUUUUACGGUUGAGUGCUUAUGGAAUCACGUAUUUAAAAAAAAAUAUUUUAUUAAAAAAA
rnacentral:rRNA from 1 species